AUGGUUGUGAUCGCUGCCACAGCACUGCUAUUCCUUAGCAGGCAGCUGGUGCCGAUGCUCACCCGUCAGACUGAAUCUAACAAUAUUGAUCAGCAAAGAGUUUUUCAAGCAAAGUGUAGACAUCUCUUACAAAAAUGCCCACUCCUGGGAUGUGAGAAAGCAGAAGACUGUGUAUGUUUUAGAGACAUCAUGUCUACUGCAGCAACAUUUUCAUAUUUCUGGAAAUUGUGACUUGACACUUAAAAGCAAAAAAAACACCCCAAAAAACAACAAACAAACAAACAAAAAACCAAACAAAAAAACCACCCAAAACCCACCCCAAAACUCAAACAAAAACAAACUGGUGAUUCUAAGACAUUCCAGUUUUCAGAAUUAAAAUAUUUAGCAUUUUCUGAAACAUCAAACAUAUACUGUUUCAUACUGAGAACCCCAAAUUACUGGUUAAUUCUGAAAAACUAAGUCUAUAACUGCUGAACCUCUUGCUGCCACUCUAUUCACUGAUAAAAAUGAAGUAGCUCAUAUUGCCAUCUGAAAUAUUUUGGCCUUUGGAGCAGACACAGAUCUGCUGUCUCAUGAGAUCAUGGCUAAGUCAACAGUAUUUAUUCAAGCCUUUGGUUUUUCACUGGCUGAGCCUCAAAGGAUCUGUGUUUACCUUCAGCUGUUAACAGCCACCCAGCUGGAGAGCAACAUGAGAAAUGAUGCUCAGUGCUUGGUUUCAGAGUCAAACACCUUCACAGCUUGAGGAGGAGGAAGAAAAGAAAGGUGAUUUGGGCAUGGGUUUGGUUCAUCCCUUUGUGCACAAUGGGGCCCACUGAGAUUUUUGGAUCUGGAUUCAAAUGUCCAUGAAAUGCGGGAGCUUUAAGAUCCAGGAUCUUGGUUUGGUUUGGAUCUACCUCUGUGCUUUGAACUGUUUGUGUAUUUACUUGAAGAUCGUCCAACUGGUCCAUGUUUUGUGAGUCUGGAAAACUGAGUUGAAAAUGUGACCAACUGUCUUUUUUGUGGUAUUUGACAAUUUCAGUUCUCAAAUGAAAAAGGAAAUGAAGUCUGAAUGUUUCAAAACUUUGGGCACUUUAGCUGACAAUUAGAGUUUGUUGGUAACAAGGACAAAGAGGUGCAAAUGUGACCCUACCUGAAUGUCAUGGCUGUCACCUACCUUCGUUCCUAGACUCCGAAUACCAAUAGUGUGAAGUGUUCUUGUAGGAAAAAAUAUUUUAGAGGGGACCGUGUUAAG
rnacentral:lncRNA from 1 species